rnacentral:rRNA from 1 species
CUGGCGACGAGUGGCGAACGGGUGAGUAAUGCAUCGGAACGUGCCCAGUAGUGGGGGAUAGCUCGGCGAAAGCUGUGCUAAUACCGCAUACGAUCUACGGAUGAAAGCGGGGGACCUUCGGGCCUCGCGCGAUUGGAGCGGCCGAUGUUAGAUUAGGUAGUUGGUGAGGUAAAGGCUCACCAAGCCUACGAUCUAUAGCUGGUCUGAGAGGACGACCAGCCACACUGGAACUGAGACACGGUCCAGACUCC